rnacentral:rRNA from 1 species
AUUCCAGACUCCUACGGGAGGCAGCAGUGAGGAAUAUUGGUCAAUGGGCGCGAGCCUGAACCAGCCAAGUCGCGUGAGGGAAGACGGUCCUAUGGAUUGCAACCCUCUUUUGUCGGGGAGCAAAAGACGCCACGCGUGGCGUUCCGAGAGUACCCGAAGAAAAAGCAUCGGCUAACUCCGUGCCAGCAGCCGCGGUAAUACGGAGGAUGCGAGCGUUAUCCGGAUUUAUUGGGUUUAAAGGGUGCGCAGGCGGAAGAUCAAGUCAGCGGUAAAAUUUCGGGGCUCAACCCCGUCGUGCCGUUGAAACUGGCGUUCUUGAGUGAGCGAGAAGUAUGCGGAAUGCGUGGUGUAGCGGUGAAAUGCAUAGAUAUCACGCAGAACUCCGAUUGCGAAGGCAGCAUACCGGCGCUCAACUGACGCUCAUGCACGAAGGCGUGGGUAUCGAACAGGAUUAGAUACCCUAGUAU